AAUACCCGUGGCGAAGGCGGCCCCUGGACAAGACUGACGCUCAGGUGCGAAAGCGUGGGAGCAAACAGGAUAGAUACCUGGUAGUCACGCUGUAAACGAUGUCGAUUUGGAGGUUGUUCCCGUGAGGAGUGGCUUCCGGAGCUAACGCGUUAAAUCGACCGCUGGGGAGUACGGCCGCAAGGUUAGAACUCAAAUGAAUUGACGGGGGCCCGCACAAGCGGUGGAGCAUGUGGUUUAAUUCGAUGCAACGCGAAGAACCUUACCUACUCUUGACAUCCAGAGAAUUUAGCAGAGAUGCUUUAGUGCCUUCGGGAACUCUGAGACAGGUGCUGCAUGGCUGUCGUCAGCUCGUGUUGUGAAAUGUUGGGUUAAGUCCCGCAACGAGCGCAACCCUUAUCCUUUGUUGCCAGCACGUUAUGGUGGGAACUCAAAGGAGACUGCCGGUGAUAAACCGGAGGAAGGUGGGGAUGACGUCAAGUCAUCAUGGCCCUUACGAGUAGGGCUACACACGUGCUACAAUGGCGUAUACAAAGAGAAGCGACCUCGCGAGAGCAAGCGGAACUCAUAAAGUACGUCGUAGUCCGGAUUGGAGUCUGCAACUCGACUCCAUGAAGUCGGAAUCGCUAGUAAUCGUAGAUCAGAAUGCUACGGUGAAUACGUUCCCGGGCCUUGUACACACCGCCCGUCACACCAUGGGAGUGGGUUGCAAAAGAAGUAGGUAGCUUAACCUUCGGGAGGGCGCUUACCACUUUGUGAUUCAUGACUGGGGUGAAGUCGUAACAAGGUAACCA
rnacentral:rRNA from 1 species